AACCCAUGGUGAUGGCACUUUCUCAAUAAAUCUUUUUAUCUUUCCCAUGCAUCAUAAAGUGUUUCUAAAUCCAUCUGUACAAAAGAAGAGAUAUCAUUCCUCAAUUU
rfam:Gossypium arboreum cultivar AKA8401 contig_7311_1, whole genome shotgun sequence.